AUUGAACGCUGGCGGCAGGCCUAACACAUGCAAGUCGAGCGAGCGGCGGACGGGUGAGUAAUGUCUGGGAAACUGCCUGAAGGAGGGGGAUAACUACUGGAAACGGUAGCUAAUACCGCAUACCAUCAGAUGUGCCCAGAUGGGAUUAGCUAGUAGGUCGGGUAAAGGCUCACCUAGGCGAAGGUCCCUAGCUGUUCUGAGAGGAUCACCAGCCACUCUGUAACUGAGACACGGUCCAGACUCCUACGUGAGGCAGCAGUGGGGAAUAUUGCACAAGGGUCGCAAGCCUGAUGCAGCCAUGCCGCGUGUGUGAAGAAGGCCGUCGGGUUGUAAAGCACUUUCAGCGGGGAGGCGUUACCCGCAGAAGAAGCACCGGCUAACUCCGUGCCAGCCGCCGCGGUAAUAC
rnacentral:rRNA from 1 species